CAACCGGGUCAGGUGAUCGCAGCUGCACAGACGAAAGGGUGCAGGUGAGGAAAGUCCGGGCUUCGUAGGGCAGGAUGCCGGAUAACGUCCGGUGGAGGUGACUCCCAGACCAGUGCAACAGAAAUAAACCGCCUCACUUGUGAGGUAAGGGUGGAAAGGCAGUGUAAGAGACUACCGCCGUUGUGGUAACAGAACGGGCACAUGUAAACUCCAUUCGAAGCAAGACCAAGACAAAAGCGAUACGAUUGCCCGUCGUGCUUUUAGGUAGGUCGCUUGAGCCUUUUGGCAACAAAAGGCCUAGAUAGAUGAUCACCCAAUGACAUAACCCGGCUUAUCGAUCCGAUUGCGCA
rnacentral:RNase_P_RNA from 1 species